AUACUUACCUGGUAGGGGAGAUACCAUGAUCAUGAGAGUGGUUUUCCCAGGGCAAAGCUUAUCCAUCGCACUCCGGAUAUGCUGACCCCUGCGAUUUUCCCAGAUGUGGGAAACUCGACUGCAUAAUUUGUGGUGUGGGGGACUGUGAAAAAUGUACUUCAGAUUCUGUUGCUCCUCU
rnacentral:snRNA from 1 species